rnacentral:rRNA from 1 species
UACGUAGGCAGCGAGCGUUGUUCGGAGUUACUGGGCGUAAAGAGUGCGUAGGCGGUUUUCUAAGUUUGGUGUGAAAUCUCCCGGCUUAACUGGGAGGGUGCGCCGAAGACUGGAAGGCUAGAGUAUGGGAGAGGUAAGCGGAAUUCCUGGUGUAGCGGUGAAAUGCGUAGAUAUCAGGAGGAACACCUGCGGUGUAGACGGCUUACUGGACCAUAACUGACGCUGAGGCACGAAAGCGUGGGUAGCAAACAGGAUUAGAAACCCCCGUAGUCC